AUAGGGGAGCCGAAGGGAAACCGAGUCUUAACUGGGCGUUAAGUUGCAGGGUAUAGACCCGAAACCCGGUGAUCUAGCCAUGGGCAGGUUGAAGGUUGGGUAACACUAACUGGAGGACCGAACCGACUAAUGUUGAAAAAUUAGCGGAUGACUUGUGGCUGGGGGUGAAAGGCCAAUCAAACCGGGAGAUAGCUGGUUCUCCCCGAAAGCUAUUUAGGUAGCGCCUCGUGAAUUCAUCUUCGGGGGUAGAGCACUGUUUCGGCUAGGGGGUCAUCCCGACUUACCAACCCGAUGCAAACUGCGAAUACCGAAGAAUGUUAUCACGGGAGACACACGGCGGGUGCUAACGUCCGUCGUGAAGAGGGAAACAACCCAGACCGCCAGCUAAGGUCCCAAAGUCACAGUUAAGUGGGAAACGAUGUGGGAAGGCACAGACAGCCAGGAUGUUGGCUUAGAAGCAGCCAUCAUUUAAAGAAAGCGUAAUAGCUCACUGGUCGAGUCGGCCUGCGCGGAAGAUGUAACGGGGCUAAACUGUGCACCGAAGCUGCGGCAGCGACACUAUGUGUUGUUGGGUAGGGGAGCGUUCUGUAAGCCGUUGAAGGUGUGUCGUGAGGCAUGCUGGAGGUAUCAGAAGUGCGAAUGCUGACAUAAGUAACGAUAAUGCGGGUGAAAAACCCGCACGCCGGAAGACCAAGGGUUCCUGUCCAACGUUAAUCGGGGCAGGGUGAGUCGACCCCUAAGGCGAGGCCGAAAGGCGUAGUCGAUGGGAAACAGGUUAAUAUUCCUGUACUUGGUGUUACUGCGAAGGGGGGACGGAGAAGGCUAUGUUAGCCGGGCGACGGUUGUCCCGGUUUAAGCAUGUAGGCGG
rnacentral:rRNA from 1 species